rnacentral:rRNA from 1 species
GACAGAGGGUGCAAACGUUGCUCGGAAUUACUGGGCGUAAAGGGCGUGUAGGCGGGAAGGCAAGUCGGGCGUGAAAGCCCCAGGCUCAACCUGGGAACUGCACUCGAAACUGCCUUUCUUGAGUGCCGGAGAGGAAAGCGGAAUUCCUGGUGUAGAGGUGAAAUUCGUAGAUAUCAGGAGGAACACCAGUGGCGAAGGCGGCUUUCUGGACGGUAACUGACGCUGAGACGCGAAAGCGUGGGGAGCAAAAGGG